UUCGUCUUUAGUUUACCUAUCAUUAAGUUGGGGACGUCGUAGAGAGACUGCCGGUGGAUAAACCGGAGGAAGGUGGGGAGUGACGUCAAAUCAUCAUGCCCCUUAUGACCUGGGCUACACACGUACUACAAUGGCGCAUACAACGAGCUGCAAGAUGGUGACAUCAAGCGAAUCUCUUAAAAUGCGUCUCAGUUCGGAUUGGAGUCUGCAACUCGACUCCAUGAAGUCGGAAUCGCUAGUAAUCGCGGAUCAGCAUGCCGCGGUGAAUACGUUCUCGGGGUUU
rnacentral:rRNA from 1 species